UACGAAGGGGGCGAGCGUUGUUCGGAUUUACUGGGCGUAAAGGGUGCGUAGGCGGGUCUUUAAGUCAGGGGUGAAAUCCUGGAGCUCAACUCCAGAACUGCCUUCGAUACUGGGAAGCUCGAGUCCGGGAGAGGUGAGUGGAACUGCGAGUGUAGAGGUGAAAUUCGUAGAUAUUCGCAAGAACACCAGUGGCGAAGGCGGCUCACUGGCCCGGUACUGACGCUGAGGUGCGAAAGCGUGGGGAGCAAACAGG
rnacentral:rRNA from 1 species